CAGCAGUGGGGAAUAUUGCACAAUGGGCGCAAGCCUGAUGCAGCUGAAAGCGUGAGUGAAGAAGGCCUUCGGGUUGUAAAGAACUUUCAGCGGGGAGGAAGGGAGUAAAGUUAAUACCUUUUUGUUAACGUGUACCCGUGGAAAACACCACAAGCACCGGCUAACUCCGUG
rnacentral:rRNA from 1 species